AUUGAACGCUGGCGGCAGGCCUAACACAUGCAAGUCGAGCGAGCGGCGGACGGGUGAGUAAUGUAUGGGGACUGCCCGCUAGAGGGGGAUAACUACUGGAAACGGUAGCUAAUACCGCAUACUAUCGGAUAACCUAUAUGGGAUUAGCUAGUAGGUGAGGUAAUGGCUCACCUAGGCGACGAUCCCUAGCUGGUCUGAGAGGGUGAUCAGCCACACUGGGACUGAGACGCGGCCCAGAAUCCUGCGGAGACAGCAGUAGAGAGUAUUGGACAAUGGACGCAAGCCUGAUGCAGCCAUGCCGCGUGUAUGAAAAAGGCCCUAAGGUUGUAAAGUACUUUCAGUCGGGAGGCGUUACCGACAGAGAAAGCGCCGGCUAACUCCGUGCCAGCGGCCGCGGUAAUAC
rnacentral:rRNA from 1 species